GUGAGGACGCCUGUGUAUACAACUACAUCGUCCAUGGUUGCAAUAGUGCUUGAGUCGCCGCUGUGGUAUAAGUUUAGUGGGCUUCAGUGGGCUUGUUGAGUUACAGUUUACUUAUAACUGUUAAUUUUCAGUGAAGCAACGUAUUUGUAACGUUUUGAGCAGUGUUACAUUUAUUUAGAAGAAUUACAUAUAGAAAUUGUCGAAAUGGAGGAAAAAUUGCGACAAAUGGAAGACGAAAUGAACAGGUUUGAAGCGGAAAUUGGGGGUCAGAUGGUUGCUCCAAUGGUUAGGACAGUUAUCGGAGCUAAUACAUAUAGUCAGGUUGCUCGGCAAUUGGAGCAACAUGAAUUACCAACACCAGCAGUUGCUGCAGCUGCAGCUUCGCUGGCAUUUCCACCAAUGAUUAGUUUUCCUCCACCACCACCGCCACCACCACCACCUCCUCCACCAAUACUUAUACCACCCCAAGUUGCUAGACAAGGUUCUGUACCCAUUACAACUUACUCAUCACCUGCACAAAUAAGUAAUCCCUACUUAUCAAAUAUGGUGGAUCCUUGUUUGAGUGCCACUCCAAAAACAUACGAGUCACCAUCAGCACCAAUUAUACAUCCAGAAAUCAUUGAACAGAUUAUCAAUACAAAAAUACCAGAGGAUGAUGGGAAAAGGAAACCAAAGGUAAAAGGUGUUAGCACUGCUGCCGAAUUAGCAAUCAGCCAAGGUAAAGCUAGUUCCAUCAUGGCUAAUGCUAGUGCUGAGGAAAGUCAUCCAAAAGGAAAAGGAAAGAAAAACAAGAAGAUCAUCCGAAUGGCUGGUGGACAAACUUGGGAAGACCCAUCCCUACUUGAAUGGGAUGACGAUGACUUUAGGAUAUUUUGCGGCGAUCUAGGUAACGACGUCACCGAUGAAAUGCUAGUAAGGGUCUUUGGCAAAUAUACCAGCUUCCAAAGAGCAAAAGUCGUCAGGGACAAGCGAACUAAUAAAACCAAGGGUUUUGGAUUUGUCUCUUUCAAGGAUCCACAGGACUUCAUUAAAGCUAUGAAGGAGAUGAAUGGUGUCACCGGCUAAUGUGGAUACGUAUAUGUAAAGUCGUCGUCGAGUGUGGAUAUGCACAUGUGGCUCCUGAACAUAUAAAAUGGCUGUGGGUGGUGGUGGCAUACGUAAUGGUCAUAUUUGAGCACACUAGAAGGGAUGACCACUUGACAAUUCGUUAACGCUUUUAAAUCAUUCAACGCUGAUUUAUAGAACUGCUAUGUGCUUGUGAUCGGGACGUCUGAGGCGAAGAGGAGAGAGACACCACCGUAGAAAAACUGAUAAUACGUGCGUGCCUGCGUGCCGACAUUCUUAAGUUUCUGCCUGCGUACGUUGCCACGAAUAAAAACACGUGUCCAACACACGUCCCUGUAUCUGGUAGAGUGGGAAUCAGCUCAUUUGGACGCUGAACUCUUAAAAAAUUUCGAUCAUCAUGUUCCUCUCGUAUUUCUUUGGUAAAUAUACAGAAUGCCAAUCUUCAAGAAAGUCAUGCCGGUUCCAUCCAAGUGUACCAGAGAAUACUGAACCUUGUUAUGGAGAACUAGAAGUCUAUCGAUGGGAAACCCGUUGUGAAUGAUCCUGAACAGACAAUUGAAGUGACAUAAGCAUCCAUCCCUCGUUCUUCAAUAGAACAAAGAUUUCUAAUUUUCGAUUAAAACUUGAGAGGCUGUUGGCGGAUCGGCUGAUUGUGCUAACCAAACAUUUCUAGGACUAAUUAAAUUACUCUCGAAUCCUGUGAUCUUUGAAUUAUCAUAGAACUUAUCACGUUACAGACUCUAAUCAGAACCAGGUUCAAUUAACCAGAGAUGCCUUAUCAGUGGUAUUCCCAUGGCUCUGAAAAUUCAAGUGCACCUGGAGUACGGUACCUCUACGAUGCAUUAGAAGGAGCAGCAACGAGUCCAUUUCAGUAACCAUCUACUUUUGCAGAGAGAAUGAUCAGUGUGUCUUAUUAAAGUGCAUCAAUCUAUGCAUUACGAAAGAGUGUAUAUUUUGCUUGCAUACAAGAGCGACAACGCCCAUGAGCAAGCAUAAGAAGGUACGUAGGGUCGCGACCCAUAAAAUUGCGCAAGAGCUCAUGGAAACAAAGGAACCUGGAAACCGUACGUAAGAAGGAAAAGGAGAAGCAGGCAUUGAUUGGACUUCUGACAGGACGAUGAAAUUAGUCAAAAU